GGGUAUACCUCAAGUGGUAGAGCGCGUGCUUAGCAUGCACAAGGUCCUGGGUUCGAUCCCCAGUACCGCCA
rnacentral:tRNA from 1 species